rnacentral:lncRNA from 1 species
GGCCAAGCAAGGGGACUCCGAUGCCGGGGCGUAGGGGGGUUUGGGUCAAAGGAUGGGGGCAGAGUUCAAAGUGCAGGGGGCGGGCUCGUUUAAUGGCGAAGUCCUGGCACCGCGCCCCAGGGAGGAGGCUCCGGAGGCCAGUGGAACCCCGCUAGACUUCAGGGGUCUUGGUUGGGGACGCGGGGCGUUUUGACCCCCUAGGCCUGAGGAUCCUAGGCCUGAGUAACCCAUCGGAUUUGGAGGGAAGGGUGGGGUUUAGGUGAAAUGUAAAUACUGCGUGGUUUCCAUUUGGCAAAGAGCAAGCUUGUAAAGGGGUCACCCUCGGGUCUGGGCUGCGAAGUGCAGCCGGGACCUGUUUCCUUGGGAACCACAAGAUAAGACCGCUGUAGAUUGUUAUGUCCGGAAACCGCUUAUCAGAGCCCUGCACCUGGGUUGGAAAUGGAGACGGAUUCUCUGUGUCCAAGAAAAUCAGACCCUCCGGCCGGAAAAGGGAAGUUUAUUCUUACUGAUAAAAUGUCAAUCACUGUGUAUGAUUGUAAUGGGCAAGGAAGGCAUUUAGCGAGCUAGAAGACAUUGAUGGCUCAGAAAAAGGUGUCCUUGGCAAAAAUACUGUUUUCUGUUAAUUUUCCAACUGAUACCAUCUGGGUCUGUCCUCCCAGCCUGAUGAAUGUGUAGGCAGAUACUUUCUCAGUCGGAGUUGAUUUUUAUUAUCUUGAUUGCUGCAUCCUGUGCACAGAGGUUUUCUGCUCAGCUGGGCUUCAUCCUGGGGUCCCAGUCCUGGCCCCAAGCCUUAAUCAGCUCUCGGGUGAUAUUAGGCAAGUUGCCAAGCCCCUAAGUGCCUCAGUUUCCAGGUCUGUAAAAUACAUAACAUUACCUGCAUUUGUCAAAUAGUGCUGUGUGUGGAUUAUUAUUGGCAGCUCAUCAUCACCAUUAUCACCCUCCUGUAAACGUCUUGGACCCCUUAAGUGAAGACAGCAGGGUUACGGCGGAUAAAAUGAUGGACUUCAGAGAAAAGACUCUAAGACCAAAUAGAGUCUAAAGCAGUGAUUAUCAAAGAGGGGAGGAGAAAUUUUACGCCCAGGGGACACUGGACAAUGUCUGCAGACUUGGUUGUCACAACCGGGGAUGGGGUUGGGGCGACUGGCAUCCAGUGGAUGAGGAGGUCUAGGGUGCUGCUCAACACCCUGCAAUGAAUAGCACGCCAGUCUUUUGGAUUUGAGCCCACCUUAAUCUCAUUUUAAUCGAAUUGCCUCUUUAAAGGCCUAUCUUCAAAUACCUUCUGAGGUACUGUGGGUUAGGCCUUCACCUUACGGAUUUGUGGGGACGCAAUUCACCCGUUAACGCUAUACAUACACAAAAAUUCAUAGACUACACCUCAAAAGAAAAAUUCAACAUGACCAUAUAAUACUAUAAAAUAAAAGAAGAUGCAAUACCUGGUUUGGGGUUGGAUCUUCGGAGGACCAGCUGUAAAGACCAUUUGGGGUAUAAUUGAAGGAAAUACGAUUAUGGGCUAGGUAUAAAGGAAUGAUUGUUAACUAUCUAAAGUGCGAAUAUGAAGUGUGGACUUUUAGAUAAAAAUACAGAUUUUUCUCUAAAAUAGCAUUUGGGAGGUGUUUAAGAGCAGAGUGUUACAGUGUCCUCAAUUUACUUUUUUUUUUUUUUUUGAGACGGAGUCUCGAGCUGUCGCCCAGGCUGGAGUGCAGUGGUGUGAUCUCGGCUCACUGCAGCCUCCACCUCCCGGGUUCAAGUGAUUCUCCUGCCUCACCCUCCCGAGUAGCUGGGACUACAGGUGCCCGCCACCACACCCAGCUAAUUUUUGUAUUUUUAGUAGAGAUGGGGUUUCACCAUCUUGGCCAGGCUACUCUUGAACUCCUGACCUCGUGACCCGCCUGCCUCGGCCUCCCAAAGUGCUGGGAUUACAGGCGUAAGCCACUGCCCCCAGCCACUCAAUUGACUUUGAAAUAAUUCUUUUUUUUUUUUUUUUUUUGAGACAGAGUUUUGCUCUGUUGCCCAGGAUAGAGUACAAUGGCGUGAUCUCAGCUCAACGCAAGCUCCGCCUCCUGGGUUCACGCCAUUCUCCUGCCUCAGCCUUCCGAGUAGCUGGGACUACAGGCACUCGCCACCACGCCCAGCUGAUUUUUUGUAUUUUUAGUAGAGACGGGGUUUCACCAUGUUAGCCAGGAUGGUCUUGAUCUCCUGACCUUGUGAUCCGCCCAACUCGGCCUCCCAAAGUGCUGGGAUUACAGACGUGAGCCACCGCACCCUGCGACUUUGAAAUAAUUCUAUGUAGAUAUUGGCUGUCAGUCGGCUAGAACAAUUGAUCAGGAAACAUCUCUGUCUUCACAAAUUACCUGAUAUGUUGAGUAAUGUGAGUAUAACACGAAUUUCAUAUUUGUUUAUGUUCAGUUUCAACCCUAAGAAACACUAAGUGAACAGAAGAAAUUGCACAUAACUGAAGAGUCUGGUAGGAAAACAGAAAAUGCGCGCACACACCUCAAAUACCAAGUCACACUGUUUCCUCUGCUUUAAAACUUAACAUUAGAUUUCCGACAACCCUCUCUCCACCACUGCAUACUAACUCUGGAAAUUUAGAUUCCCUUGCCCAAUUCCACAAGCAACCUUU